UACGAAGGGUGCAAGCGUUACUCGGAAUUACUGGGCGUAAAGCGUGCGUAGGUGGUUUGUUAAGUCUGUUGUGAAAGCCCCGGGCUCAACCUGGGAAUGGCAAUGGAUACUGGCAAGCUAGAGUGCGGUAGAGGGUAGUGGAAUUCCCGGUGUAGCGGUGAAAUGCGUAGAUAUGCGGAGGAACACCGAUGGCGAAGGCAAUCCCCUGGGCCUGCACUGACGCUCAUGCACGAAAGCGUGGGGAGCAAACAGG
rnacentral:rRNA from 1 species